GAGAAAUGGCAGAGCGGUCGAAUGCACUGGUCUUGAAAACCAGCGUACCGCAAGGUACCGGGGGUUCGAAUCCCUCUUUCUCC
rnacentral:tRNA from 1 species